UUACACUCGUCGAACAAACAAA
rnacentral:misc_RNA from 1 species